rnacentral:rRNA from 1 species
UACGAAGGGGGCUAGCGUUGUUCGGAAUCACUGGGCGUAAAGGGCGCGUAGGCGGCCGAUCAAGUCGGGGGUGAAAGCCUGUGGCUCAACCACAGAAUUGCCUUCGAUACUGUUUGGCUUGAGACCGGAAGAGGUUAGUGGAACUGCGAGUGUAGAGGUGAAAUUCGUAGAUAUUCGCAAGAACACCAGUGGCGAAGGCGGCUGACUGGCCCGAUACCGACGCUGAGGCACGAAAGCGUGGGGAGCAAACAGG